rnacentral:antisense_RNA from 1 species
UAUUUCUUUGAGUUCUGGGUCGUUGCGUUGUGAUAAUGUGGAUUAUGUUUUUGUGUUUGUGCUAAUAAUCUUGAUUUUAUCG